AGUCGCCGCAGCCGCGGAGUGAGGGAGCGAGAGUCUUCCUUAGCUUCCCCGCCAUGGGCGUCGCUUCGUAGCCGGGCUGCUCCGGGAAAGGCCUCGUACAGCACGCAUUCACCAGAAUCCUGUCAGCUUUCCUCUUCUCAUCCAGACGCCUGGCCAGGAUCCUUGAUAAGACCGUGACCCCCAACUUAGACACCCCAUAAGAGACAGGGUUUCGCCAUGUUGGCCAGGCUGGUCCCCAACUCCUGACCUCAAGUGAUCCACCCGCCUCGGCUUCCCAAAGUGCUGGGAUUACAGGCGUGAGCCAUCGCACCUGGCCUGAGUUUGCAUUUCUAAGUUCCCAGAUGAUGUGACAGCUACUGGUUUCCAGCCACACCUUGAGAACACUUGGCUUUCACUAUCACUUCUUAAACUUAAAGGGUCUUCUCUGUUGCCAGGCUGGAGUGCAGUGCUGCAGUCAUGGCUCACUGUAGUGUCAAUCUCCUGAGCUCAGGAAAACUAGACAAUCCACCAGCCCAGGAGGGGACAAGCAGGCUUAAUCCCCCUCCUCGUCAUCUCUGGCUCCAGCCCCACCCUGGCCCUUCCUGGCAUUCUUCCUCUUCACGUGGCUGGGGUGGCCACCCCAAUAGGGAGGCAGAGGGAGAAGUCCAUGUGCUUCUGGGAAUCCAGGCGGACAGUGAAGAACAGGAUAUUUACCACCUGCUCACGGAUAUGAUACUGUUGGAUCAGCACACGAGCGUGGCGGAUGGACUUAAGCCAAGCCCAGCUUGAAG
rnacentral:antisense_RNA from 1 species